rnacentral:rRNA from 1 species
GAUCCUGGCUCAGGAUGAACGCUAGCGACAGGCUUAACACAUGCAAGUCGAGGGGCAGCACGGUGUAGCAAUACACUGGUGGCGACCGGCGCACGGGUGAGUAACACGUGUGCAACCAACCCCGUACCGGGAGAUAACCCGCGGAAACGUGGACUAACAUCCCAUAACACUCUAGAGCCGCAUGGUUCUGGAUUUAAAAUUCCGGUGGUACGGGACGGGCACGCGCGACAUUAGGUAGUUGGCGGGGUAACGGCCCACCAAGG